UCACAUCAUUAUAAGUAAGGCCCUUUUC
rnacentral:sRNA from 1 species